GAUGAACGCUAGCUACAGGCUUAACACAUGCAAGUCGAGGGGCAGCAUUUCAGUUUGCUUGCAAACUGGAGAUGGCGACCGGCGCACGGGUGAGUAACACGUAUCCAACCUGCCGAUAACUCGGGGAUAGCCUUUCGAAAGAAAGAUUAAUACCCGAUGGCAUAAUUAGACCGCAUGGUCUUAUUAUUAAAGAAUUUCGGUUAUCGAUGGGGAUGCGUUCCAUUAGGCAGUUGGUGAGGUAACGGCUCACCAAACCUUCGAUGGAUAGGGGUUCUGAGAGGAAGGUCCCCCACAUUGGAACUGAGACACGGUCCAAACUCCUACGGGAGGCAGCAGUGAGGAAUAUUGGUCAAUGGGCGCAGGCCUGAACCAGCCAAGUAGCGUGAAGGAUGACUGCCCUAUGGGUUGUAAACUUCUUUUAUAUGGGAAUAAAGUUUUCCACGUGUGGAAUUUUGUAUGUACCAUAUGAAUAAGGAUCGGCUAACUCCGUGCCAGCAGCCGCGGUAAUACGGAGGAUCCGAGCGUUAUCCGGAUUUAUUGGGUUUAAAGGGAGCGUAGGUGGACAGUUAAGUCAGUUGUGAAAGUUUGCGGCUCAACCGUAAAAUUGCAGUUGAUACUGGCUGUCUUGAGUACAGUAGAGGUGGGCGGAAUUCGUGGUGUAGCGGUGAAAUGCUUAGAUAUCACGAAGAACUCCGAUUGCGAAGGCAGCUCACUGGACUGCAACUGACACUGAUGCUCGAAAGUGUGGGUAUCAAGCAGGAUUAGAUACCCUGGUAGUCCACACAGUAAACGAUGAAUACUCGCUGUUUGCGAUAUACAGUAAGCGGCCAAGCGAAAGCAUUAAGUAUUCCACCUGGGGAGUACGCCGGCAACGGUGAAACUCAAAGGAAUUGACGGGGGCCCGCACAAGCGGAGGAACAUGUGGUUUAAUUCGAUGAUACGCGAGGAACCUUACCCGGGCUUAAAUUGCAUUUGAAUAUAUUGGAAACAGUAUAGCCGUAAGGCAAAUGUGAAGGUGCUGCAUGGUUGUCGUCAGCUCGUGCCGUGAGGUGUCGGCUUAAGUGCCAUAACGAGCGCAACCCUUAUCUUUAGUUACUAACAGGUCAUGCUGAGGACUCUAGAGAGACUGCCGUCGUAAGAUGUGAGGAAGGUGGGGAUGACGUCAAAUCAGCACGGCCCUUACGUCCGGGGCUACACACGUGUUACAAUGGGGGGUACAGAAGGCAGCUACCUGGUGACAGGAUGCUAAUCCCAAAAGCCUCUCUCAGUUCGGAUCGAAGUCUGCAACCCGACUUCGUGAAGCUGGAUUCGCUAGUAAUCGCGCAUCAGCCAUGGCGCGGUGAAUACGUUCCCGGGCCU
rnacentral:rRNA from 1 species